CACACACACACACACACACACACACUCAGGAUAGGAAGCGGCGUCACUUCACUUCGUCUGAUGGACGCUGAAGUUGAUGAAGCUCAGACGAGGCUGCUACUGAUGAAGCUCACGGCUAACAGUUCACAGGUGGUCGUGUGUGUGUGAAGGUGUGAGCUCUGCUAUGAAUCCCUGUGAGGACACUGAACCCGCUCUGAGUGGGAACCCUGAACGCCUCACCAAAGCUCAGAGCCCAGAGCAGCAUGGACCUGGACCUGGACCUGGAUCUGGACCUGGACCUGGACCUGGACCUGGACCCAGCUGUGUGUCCAUGAAGAGUGACUGGUCGAGGAGUGAACCAAUAUAUUUUAAAGACCGACCUUCAGAG